AAAUCCGUGUCGCGUUGGAAACCAUUUUUACCAUAAUCUUAAUCUCUUUCAAACAGCAUACAGUGAGCCUGGCAGAAGACAUUGUGGAGGUACAAUCAAUUAAAUCUUCACCUCUUUUUUACCUUUGGUUAUCAUUUGGUCAUUUCACUCAACACGCCUUUACUUUUCCAAUCUGUUCUACAGAAUUGACAGGUCCGACCUUUAUUUUGCCACCUCCACCACAGCACCCAGCAACAUUUUUCAACUCCAUCGAUGCCGAGUUGACCACCGUUACUGCUCUGCCAGUAGCACCACCGCUCUUCCGCUCCAGCCAUGCCGAGUUAACAAGUCAGACCACCACUCCUCCGUCAACUUCGCCCACAUCUCUGCCAGUACCACCCCAGCAAGAUUUUUACAGACUUGUUCUGCAGCACCUCCGCACAAUUGAGGAGGAGCUGAAGGAGGUGAAGCAGCAGGUGGCGGUCAACACAGCCAUGAUACAGAGACUAGGUGGUGGUGGUGUGGCAGAUCUCGGCCUUGUGGAAGACACCAACAUGCCAUUGAGCAAUGCCGAGGACCUGGACGAGCUGGAGAGGCGGCUUAUAUCUGAUGUGGACCUAAAAAAUCAACUGGUAUGUCUUUUUAAAUGUUUUGCAAUAUGAUUAUUGUAGCUAUACAAUUCCUAGCCUGGCUCUCGUAAUGAAUGUGGCUCUGCCUUGCUUUAAUGUUGACUACUCAAUGAUUCAAAAAUGCCAUUCAAAUACACAACAUCUCACUUGCUCUUUGUUUUACUACAGGAGCCGUUCGGAGAGUGGUAACCACAGCCACUGAAGAGGAGCUUCAAAAAGAAGUCUCCCUGUAUUUGAAGGGGGCGGCUGACAGGGAGGGAGGGAGAAAAGACAGGCAGAAAAGGGUGGUGAAUGGGGAUGGGGAGUGUUGAGCCCAUGUUGGCCAUAUGCUUAUGAAAUAAACAAAAUGUAUUGAACCUAAUAGCCUAUGUGUGGUG
rnacentral:lncRNA from 1 species